rnacentral:tRNA from 1 species
GGAAGAGAGACAUCUCCGGUGGGGUGCCUGGUCUUCAAAACCAGUGAGGUGCUUAAUAAGUGCCUGGUGGGUUCGACUCCUACCUCUUCCGCCA